GAUGAAGAACGCAGCGAAAUGCGAUAAGUAAUGCGAAUUGCAGAAUUCAGUGAGUCAUCGAAUCUUUGAACGCACAUUGCGCCCUGUGGUACUCCGCAGGGCAUGCCUGUUCGAGCGUCAUUUCAACCCUCAAGCUCUGCUUGGUGUUGGGCCCUGCCCGCUGCGGCCGGCCCUAAAGACAGUGGCGGUGCCGCCUGGCCCUGAGCGUAGUACAUCUCUCGCUCCAGUGCCCGGUGGUAGCCUGCCAGAACCCCAACUCUCGUGGUUGACCUCGGAUCAGGUAGGGAUACCCGCUGAACUUAAGCAUAUCAAUAAGCGGAGGA
rnacentral:misc_RNA from 1 species